ensembl:lncRNA
CUUGCUGGCAAACUGACAUCUCAUUAGGUAUGUAAGCCCAGCAGCAUGCAGCGCAGGCUGGUGCAGAAGAGGGCACACAGCAAAGGCUUUGCAGAGACAGAGCGUUUUUGCAGGGUACCCCAGCAGCAAAACAGUGCAGGCUGCCCAGGUCACAGUUCUUAGGAUGUUCACGGCUGGAGCAACAUCUCUGCCGUCAACAAGGGCUCUUCUCCUAAAGAACUGACUCUCCAGGUGCCUUGGAGAAAGAAUACAUCAGGCACCUUUGAGCUCAUUACUGACAAGCAGCCUCCACCUCGCUAAGCCUAUGAUUCUGGUCUAUUGGCAAGGGCAAGAAGCAGAGAGCAAUGCAUCUUAUUUAAAUGCAUGCAGCAGCUCAGCACACCAGUGGCUGGCAAUGUAAUAGCUUCAUACAACUCCUGCUGAAGCCAGGAAAAUUUUACCUGAGAAAUAUCACCUUCCUAUCAAGGAUCACAAGGAAGGAACCGUGACCUUACUGUGCAUCAAUAUUAAAGGGCAGCUGCCCUGGACAGCAGCUUAACAGGAGAUUUAUGGAAGAAAAGCUAAAUACCUAUCUAAGGGGACAUGGGUACAUCCUCCUAUUCCCAUCUGCCAGCAGUCAGCUGGAAGGCCUUGGGCGACAUAUCCUUGCCUCAGUCUCCCCUCACUCACAGAACAUUGAAUUUGUGAAAGCUUCUGCAGCACUAAGGAUGAACAGACAGUGCUAUGGGCAUGAGAGUUUGUUUCUUUGCCAGACAGAGACUCCCAGGCAAAGCACUGACAUGAGCAGAGAUCACAACAAAAUGUGAUACUGGAUACGUAACAGGAAGAGGCAGAGAUACGCAGAUUAAAGCUGUGUCAAUUGGGUGACUCACUGGAAUCAUAAUAGUCUCCAGGGCUUAAGUAAGGUUUAUUUAUAGCUGCUGUGAGCAUCGGGUCGCUAGAUCUCAGAAUGCCAGCUGUGAGAGGAAAUGUUUUUUUCUCUUAUUAUUUUACCACUGUGCAAUGUUUCCAGCUCACAGGAAGAGCUAAUUAAAUCAACAAUUAAAGCCGCAAAGACUCCUGAAUCACAGACAACAGUGCACUGUAUCUGACCUCUUCUGCCUUGCUUACGAAGCUCAGCAGUGAUCUUGCUGAUCUAAGAAACAUUAACUGUCUGGUACAGGAAAGUCACAGCCAGGCAGAUUUGGGAAGUGGGAAGAGACUGGAGAAGCAGCCAGGCUGCCCUGGAGAGAUAUGGGAUGCAUGAGGACUAAUGCUACUUUUGCAUCAGCUCAGCCAGAGCCCCAUCUUUUCGGAGGCUUUGACACUGCAGAUAAUUGUAAUGAUUUUUUCAAACUUCACAUUGAUAAGAAUAGCAUGGAACUAUCCUGAGAUAAGCAAUUUCGUCCAACGCUGCUCCUUCACUUCUAGGAGACAGGCAGUACCAGUCAGCCUAGGAGCUGGAAAACAGCACUACUGAGCCUGUCCAGCCUGCAGCCCCAAAUGAAAUGCCAUUUGUAUUCUUUACCACCAUGAGCUCUCUCUCUCCAACCACUACAAAAACAGCAGAGCCCUUCACCUCCACACAGGGGGUAAUAAAUAUUUAUUGUUUACAAAAGCAUCAUUAAAUAAAAAUUUAAGCCUGUG